rnacentral:rRNA from 1 species
UACGUAGGGUGCGAGCGUUGUCCGGAAUUAUUGGGCGUAAAGAGCUUGUAGGUGGUUUGUCGCGUCUGCUGUGAAAAUCCGAGGCUCAACCUCGGACUUGCAGUGGGUACGGGCAGACUAGAGUGUGGUAGGGGAGACUGGAAUUCCUGGUGUAGCGGUGGAAUGCGCAGAUAUCAGGAGGAACACCCGUGGCGAAAGCGGCUCUCUGGAACGGUACUGACGCUGAGACGCGAAAGCGUGGGGAGCGAACAGG